rnacentral:rRNA from 1 species
GACGAACGCUGGCGGCGUGCUUAACACAUGCAAGUCGAACGGGAAGGCCCUGCUUGCAGGGUACUCGAGUGGCGAACGGGUGAGUAACACGUGGGUGAUCUGCCCUGCACUUCGGGAUAAGCCUGGGAAACUGGGUCUAAUACCGGAUAGGAGCCAUUUUUAGUGUGAUGGUUGGAAAGUUUUUUCGGUGUAGGAUGAGCUCGCGGCCUAUCAGCUUGUUGGUGGGGUAAUGGCCUACCAAGGCGGCGACGGGUAGCCGGCCUGAGAGGGUGGACGGCCACAUUGGGACUGAGAUACGGCCCAGACUCCUACGGGAGGCAGCAGUGGGGAAUAUUGCACAAUGGGCGCAAGCCUGAUGCAGCGACGCCGCGUGGGGGAUGACGGCCUUCGGGUUGUAAACUCCUUUCGCUAGGGACGAAGCUUUUUGUGACGGUACCUAGAGAAGAAGCACCGGCUAACUACGUG